GGUCUAAACUUUUUGUUUUCUAUAAUAUUUAGGAAUUCGACUGCUGUUGUCUGACUUUACAGCCAUGUAAAGAUCCAGUGGUAACGGAAGAUGGUCACCUGUAUGACAAGGAGGCUAUUCUCAAAAACAUAUUGCAUCAGAAAAAGGAAAUUGCCAGAAAACUAAAGGAAUAUGAAAAACAAAAAUUAAGAUCACAGAAAGAACUAGAAGAAUUAGCCAAAGCUGAACAAGAAACUAAAGCUCUCAAGUUUGCCCAGCAAGAAUCAAAUCCUAUUGGUCAGAAAUAUGGUAGGUCGUUCCAGGUUAAGUAGGCUACAUUUGGCAAUUAAAUUAUUAACUCUUUCAGUGUGGAGUUAGUCUCAGCGAGUAACUUCGCUAGCACUGGUGAUUGCGGCGUCUCACUUGGCGAGUAACUCGGAAUACAAUAUUUGUUUCACUAUAAUUAUAAUGUCAAACUUUUUAAUUCUCUCUUUAUGUUUUAUAUUCCGCAUGUAAGAGUGAUUAUUCUUUGUUCUGGUUGUAAUUUGGAUUCGGAACCAAGAGGUUUUUGUCUUAGGGGGCAGUGUUAUGACUCUACAUUGCACGUUGUCAUUAGGUGUGAGACUGCGCACCAGGAGACACAGGACAGAGAUAGGAAAUAAGUGUGGAAGUCAAAAGAUGGCUGAUGUAAACAAGUGUUGUUAUUAUUCGAAUGUGUAAUUGUUAUCCGACUAUUAGUCUAUUAUUAAAUUGCUGUUUUUAUUUAAAUGAUAAAAUUGUGCUAGUGGAUCCACUUUUUAGUUUAUAUCACGGGUCCAAAAUAUUUAAGUUAUACAAUUAUUUAGUGCAUUUUUUCAUCUUUUCUAAAAUUCAAAGUGACGAUAAGGAUUUAGGUUUGUGAUUUCUCAUUAUUUAUGAACAGGGCAUUUAUGCGGCCAUAGUUGCCCCACACUUUCAUAGGUCCUGUGCUAACUCUAGCUGUAAAUUAUUAAAUUAAACCAUUAUAAUUUAUAUGAG
rnacentral:sRNA from 1 species